CUACGGGAGGCUCCAGUGAGGAAUAUUGCACAAUGGGGGGAACCCUGAUGCAGCAACGCCGCGUGGAGGAUGACGCAUUUCGGUGUGUAAACUCCUUUUAUGUGUCAAGAAAAUGACGGUAGCAUAUGAAUAAGCACCGGCUAACUCCGUGCCAGCAGCCGCGGUAAUACGGAGGGUGCAAGCGUUACUCGGAAUCACUGGGCGUAAAGGGCGCGUAGGCGGGUUGGAAAGUCAGGUGUGAAAUCCUACAGCUUAACUGUAGAACUGCACUUGAAACUUCUAAUCUAGAGUAUGGGAGGGGGGGAUGGAAUUAGUGGUGUAGGGGUAAAAUCCGUAGAUAUCACUAGGAAUACCUAAAGCGAAGGCGAUCUCCUGGAACAUUACUGACGCUAAGGCGUGAAAGCGUGGGGAGCAAACAGGAUUAGAUACCCGCGUAGUC
rnacentral:rRNA from 1 species